rnacentral:rRNA from 1 species
CCUACGGGAAACAGCAGUGAGGAAUAUUGGUCAAUGGACGCAAGUCUGAACCAGCCAUGCCGCGUGCAGGAAGACGGCUCUAUGAGUUGUAAACUGCUUUUGUACGAGGGUAAACGCAGAUACGCGUAUCUGUCUGAAAGUAUCGUACGAAUAAGGAUCGGCUAACUCCGUGCCAGCAGCCGCGGUAAUACGGAGGAUUCAAGCGUUAUCCGGAUUUAUUGGGUUUAAAGGGUGCGUAGGCGGUCGGAUAAGUUAGAGGUGAAAUCCCGAGGCUCAACUUCGGAAUUGCCUGUGAUACUGUACGGCUAGAGAGUAGUUGCGGUAGGCAGAAUGUAUGGUGUAGCGGUGAAAUGCUUAGAGAUCAUACAGAACACCGAUUGCGAAGGCAGCUAACCAAGCUACUUCUGACGUUGAGGCACGAAAGCGUGGGGAGCAAACAGGAUUAGAUACCCCUGUAGUC